GCUUGUCUCAAAGAUUAAGCCAUGCAUGUCUAAGUAUAAACAAAUCUAUACUGUGAAACUGCGAAUGGCUCAUUAUAUCAGUUAUAGUUUAUUUGAUGGUCCUUGCUACUUGGAUAACCGUAGUAAUUCUAGAGCUAAUACAUGCAUCAAAACCCGACUUCUGGAAGGGUUGUAUUUAUUAGAUGGAAACCAAUGCGGGGCAACCCGGUUAUGGUGAUUCAUAAUAACUUUCGGAUCGACCUUUCGGUCGAUGCAUCAUUCAAGUUUCUGCCCUAUCAGUUGUGGAUGGUAGGGUAUUGGCCUACCAUGACUUUAACGGGUAACGGAGAAUUAGGGUUCGAUUCCGGAGAGGGAGCCUGAGAAAUGGCUACCACAUCCAAGGAAGGCAGCAGG
rnacentral:rRNA from 1 species